CGCGUAGGCGGCCAGAUAAGUCCCGGGUGAAAUCCCUCGGCUCAACCGAGGAACUGCCUUGGAAACUGUCUGGCUCGAGGCCGGGAGAGGGUAGUGGAAUUCCCAGUGUAGCGGUGAAAUGCGUAGAUACUGGGAGGAACACCGGUGGCGAAGGCGGCUACCUGGACCGGUUCUGACGCUGAUGCGCGAAAGCGUGGGGAGCAAACAGGAUUAGAUACCCUGGUAGUCCACGCUGUAAACGAUGGAUGCUCGGUGUCGCGGGUAUCGACCCCUGCGGUGCCUUAGCUAACGCGUUAAGCAUCCCGCCUGGGGAGUACGGUCGCAAGGCUGAA
rnacentral:rRNA from 1 species